GACGACCGCUGGCUGCGUGCUUAAUACAUGCAAGUAGGACGCAGUUGCGAACGGGUGAGUAACGCGUAGGUAACUACCUAUUAGAGGGGGAUAACUCUUGGAAACGAUAGCUAAUACCGCAUACUUGUCGCUGGACCUGCGUUGUAUUAGAUAGUAGGUCGGGUCAUGGACUACCUAGGCAACGAUACAUAGCCGACCUGAGAGGGUGAUCGGCCACACUGGGACUGAGACACGGCCCAGACCCCUACGGGAGGCAGCAGUAGGUAAUCUUCGGCAAUGGGGGGAAGCCUGACCGAGCGACGCCGCGGGAGUUAAGAUGGUUUUCGGGACGUAAAGCUCUGUUGUUAAGGAAGCGGUACCUAACGAGAAAGGGACUGCUAACUACGUGCCAGCAGCCGCGGUAAUUC
rnacentral:rRNA from 1 species